rnacentral:rRNA from 1 species
AUGGAACCGGUCGUUCUCUCUUUCUCCUCUCCCGCGACCCCUUGUCUCGCCGUCUGGUGCGCCGCCGCCCCCUCGUCUCAGCCCCUCCCUCUCCGGUACACCGCCCCCUCGUCUCGCCGUCUAGUGCGCCGCCGCACCUCGUCUGGGCCCUCCCUCUCCGGGGAAGAAGAGGAGCACGUGCAGCCGGCGAGCAGCUGCGUGGCUGCAGUCAUGCAACGGGUUGCAGCGGGGCUACAUCAACGGCAGAGGGUCGCCCAGCACCUGGAUUUGCACCUGAUUUCGAUCAAGAGAGUGCUAACCUCGCUUCAGGAGGGCCAAUUGUUCAGAAUGUAA